rnacentral:lncRNA from 1 species
UAAUAUCCUGGUCCAUCUUGGGAGUACAUUCUUGAGUAAAAUGCAUAAUGGGUUUGCAAACUUCUCCUAUUAUGUCAACUAGGUCCUUAAAUUUUAAAAUAUGUUUUUGGGUCCACCCUAGGUCCACGCUAGCAAGCCACAUUGGCGUCAGGAGCUGGACUGUUGUGUUUAGAACUUAGGAGAUACCUUGACACUGUUUAGGGAUAAAAAAC